rnacentral:rRNA from 1 species
UAAUACGUAGGUGGCAAGCGUUGUCCGGAUUUACUGGGCGUAAAGAGCGCGCAGGCGGUCGUAUAAGUCGAAUGUGAAAGCCCCCGGCUCAACUGGGGAGGGUCAUUCGAUACUGUUCGACUCGAAGGCAGGAGAGGGAAGUGGAAUUCCGGGUGUAGUGGUGAAAUGCGUAGAUAUCCGGAGGAACACCAGUGGCGAAGGCGACUUUCUGGCCUGUUCUUGACGCUGAGGCGCGAAAGCUAGGGGAGCAAACGGGAUUAGAUACCCCGGUAGUCCUAGCCGUAAACGAUGGACACUAGGUGUUGGUGGUAUCAACCCCGCCAGUGCCGUAGCUAACGCAUUAAGUGUCCCGCCUGGGGAGUACGGCCGCAAGGCUAAAACUUAAAGGAAUUGACGG